UACGUAGGGUGCGAGCGUUAAUCGGAAUUACUGGGCGUAAAGCGUGUGUAGGCGGUCUCGUAAGUCGGGUGUGAAAGCCCUGGGCUCAACCCAGGAAGUGCACUCGAAACUGCGAGGCUAGAGUACUGGAGAGGUUGGUGGAAUUCUCGGUGUAGAGGUGAAAUUCGUAGAUAUCGAGAGGAACACCGGUGGCGAAGGCGGCCAACUGGACAGAUACUGACGCUGAGACACGAAAGCGUGGGGAGCAAACAGG
rnacentral:rRNA from 1 species